AGGUUUAUCCAAUGUCAAGGGAAUGACAGAGAAUAUCCUGUGACUUCAGAGAACUACAGGAAUGGUGGACAUGGAAAGGAGUGGUUUUUGAAAGC